rnacentral:lncRNA from 1 species
ACUUUUCGAUCAGAGAGAGGUACCUUGCUUGGGCUGUUGGGGACUGAGUGGAAGCUGAAGCAGGACUUGGAGCAGGGAUUGGAGCAGGAGAGGGCUCGACUGCUAAUCUCUUUCUGCGCACACUCUUUUCCAACCUGCGAAUAGAUUUUCUCGUCUGCAGUAGCUUCAUUUUGGGAGCCAUUAGGUCAAGAAAGACUUGAAAGGAGCUUAGGAGACUAAAUGUGAGGUAGAGAGGAAAAGAUUUUGGAAGGAAAAAGGCAAGGAUUUGAGGAGUUAAAUCAUCGGUUUGGAGAAGAGGGCAUGAUUCUAGGGCAAGCUCGAACCGCUCCAAAUGAGGAAGGGAGAGGAGAGGAAGUUGGUUCCUUAACGGGUGAUUUGAGGAGUGAAAAUCAAUGGGAGGAGAUAUUUGAGAGAAAUCUUUGGUUUGAGGGAGAAGGGAUAGAGAGCUU